AAAAAGUUAGUUAAAUUUAUAACAUUAAUAUGUCAAGUUAAAAUUACUAAAAAUUAGUACUUUUUG
rnacentral:tRNA from 1 species